rnacentral:rRNA from 1 species
AUUGAACGCUGGCGGCAGGCUUAACACAUGCAGGUCGAGCGGAGAUGAGGUGCUUGCACCUUAUCUUAGCGGCGGACGGGUGAGUAAUGCUUAGGAAUCUGCCUAUUAGUGGGGGACAACAUUCCGAAAGGAAUGCUAAUACCGCAUACGUCCUACGGGAAAAAGCAGGGGAUCUUCGGACCUUGCGCUAAUAGAUGAGCCUAAGUCGGAUUAGCUAGUUGGUGGGGUAAAGGCCUACCAAGGCGACGAUCUGUAGCGGGUCUGAGAGGAUGAUCCGCCACACUGGGACUGAGACACGGCCCAGACUCCGACGGGAGGCAGCAGUGGGGAAUAUUGGACAAUGGGGGGAACCCUGAUCCAGCCAUGCCGCGUGUGUGAGGAAGGCCUUAUGGUUGUAAAGCACUUUAAGCGAGGAGGAGGCUACUGAGACUAAUACCCUUGGAUAGUGGACGUUACUCGCAGAAUAAGCACCGGCUAACUCUGUGCCAGCCGCCGCCGUAAAAC